GAUGAACGCUAGCUACAGGCUUAACACAUGCAAGUCGAGGGACCGGAGCACGGGGGAGUAACACGUAUCCAACCUGCGCUUUAAUAGGGGGUAGCCUUUCGAAAGAAAGAUUAAUAUCCGAUGUAAAGAAUGGGGAUGCGUUCCAUUAGGUUGUUGGUGAGGUAACGGCUCACCAAGCCUUCGAUGGAUAGGGGUUCGGAGAGGAAGGUCCCCCACAUUGGAACUGAGACACGUUCCAAACUCCUACGGGAGGCUGCAGUGAGGAAUAUUGGUCAAUGGGCGUUAGCCUGAUCCAGCCAAGUAGCGUGAAGUAUGAAGGCUUAUGGGUCGUAAACUUCUUUUAUAUAAGAAUAUGUAUUAUAUGAAUAAGGAUCGGCUAACUCCGUGCCAGCAGCCGCGGUAAUAC
rnacentral:rRNA from 1 species